AAAAACAUGUCCUUUAGAUAUUUAUUUAAGGUCUAACCUGCCCACUGAAAAAUUAAAUGGCCGCAGUAUUUUAACUGUGCAAAGGUAGCAUAAUCAUUAGUCUUUUAAUUGAAGGCUUGUAUGAAUGGUUGGACGAGAUAUAUACUGUCUCAUAUAAAAUUAAUAUUAUAAUUUUAUUUUUUAGUUAAAAAGCUAAAAUUUUGUUGAAAGACGAGAAGACCCUAUAGAUCUUUAUAUAUAAAUUAUUUAUUAUUUUUUAGUUGUUAAUUUUAUUAAUUAAUUUAUAUAUUUUGUUGGGGUGACAUUAAAAUUUAUAUAACUUUUAAUUAUAAUUUUAACAUUUAUUUAUGAAAUUUUGAUCCAUUAUUAGUGAUUAUAAAAUUAAGUUACCUUAGGGAUAACAGCGUAAUUUUUUUGGAGAGUUCUUAUCGAUAAAAAAGGUUGCGACCUCGAUGUUGGAUUAAAAUUAAUGCUAAAUGUAGCAGUUUAGUUAUUUAAGUCUGUUCGACUUUUAAUAUUUUACAUGAUCU
rnacentral:rRNA from 1 species